rnacentral:rRNA from 1 species
CAGCCGCCGCGGGAAUACGUAGGGUGCGAGCGUUAAUCGGAAUUACUGGGCGUAAAGCGUGCGCAGGCGGUUUUGUAAGACAGAGGUGAAAUCCCCGGGCUCAACCUGGGAACUGCCUUUGUGACUGCAAGGCUAGAGUACGGCAGAGGGGGAUGGAAUUCCGCGUGUAGCAGUGAAAUGCGUAGAUAUGCGGAGGAACACCGAUGGCGAAGGCAAUCCCCUGGGCCUGUACUGACGCUCAUGCACGAAAGCGUGGGGAGCAAACAGGAUUAGAUACCCCAGUAGUCCCUGUCUCUUAUAU